rnacentral:lncRNA from 7 species
AUUAGUACAAGACAGCUGAGAUCACACCUUCCUGGCUUCACUACAGCAAACCAGAAUGAUCCACACUGUAUUGGCAUAUUGAGGAAUUCCAUGCUUCGUAAAAAUUGCAGGAGAGCUGCCACGUGUCACCAGCCAUCCACAUUGUGUAAAACCCAGAUGGUCACACUGUGUUUCACGAAAAACCUGAAGCACUGUUCAUGCAACUGAAUAGAACUUUGAGGGGAGACCAGUGGAAGCUGUUAAUUUGUAGAAGAGGAUAAAGUAGUCAGGUAUUUUCUCUAUGGUCCUGAAGAUCAGGCUUUCUGCCUUGUCUGGGAAGGUCAGCCAGUUGAAGUGUGGGAAUGACGCCACACUGCCAAGUGCUUCCAGAACCCAAAUCAUUCCUAGUGCAGAAACUUGGUGUCCUAGGAGAUCUGACCUGUGGAAACUGGAGGAAUCUUUGAGGAUCUGAAAUUUUUAUUUGGAUACUUAAGCGAUAUUAAGUUGCCUUCAUUCUCCUCUUGAAUCUAACAUAUGGACGCAAAUUUUUAACAAUACACAGUGCAUGGAAAUAAAUUUGAGUGCGUCAUUUUGAUUUGUCAAAAGUGUACGUGGGUAAUUCACUUUAUUUUGGUACCAUUUGUCUGAGACACACGGGAAUUUUCAGCAGAAAACCAGUUAGAAUGAGUCUAG